rnacentral:rRNA from 1 species
UACGAAGGGGGCUAGCGUUGCUCGGAUUGACUGGGCGUAAAGGGCGCGUAGGCGGUUCGUACAGUCAGACGUGAAAUUCCUGGGCUCAACCUGGGGGCUGCGUUUGAUACGUGCGGGCUUGAGUGCGGAAGAGGGUCGUGGAAUUCCCAGUGUAGAGGUGAAAUUCGUAGAUAUUGGGAAGAACACCGGUGGCGAAGGCGGCGACCUGGUCCGAUACUGACGCUGAGACGCGAAAGCGUGGGGAGCGAACCGG